rnacentral:rRNA from 1 species
AUGGUGUUGGAGAUAUCCUCUGUCCUGAUGUGGCUCGUGUCAUCAUACUGGGCAUACAUGACCGCAUUCUUGCAUCUACAAGGCCGUCGUCGAAGCAAAGCCUCCCGAUGUGCAGGUAGAAUAUUGCUGAGCACCGUCAAGCGUCUCCGUCCCCAUCCAGAAAAAAGAUUGGAGUGGUCAGGAAAGGUGCAGCAGUAUAGCCUGAUGGAUGAUUGCAUCCAGGCCAUGGCACAACGACCUUUCAACUGGCUACUACCACAGAUGAUGAAGCAAGGCUACACCAGCAAGCAUGUCGUCGUCUCUCCAGAGGUAAAGAAAGUGCUGCUUCAUAAACUCUGUGAAAUAGCCACCAGUCCAGAUAGUAUAGAUAAGCUGGCAUUUAGCGGCAGCUUCCGUGGAGAGUGGGCUGCAUCUUGGGCGGCUUCUGGAGCUAGGACUCAAACAGCUGGAAGUAGUGCAGCCCAACAGGCCCUGGCGGCCAGCAACAUCCAAGAUAUGGAUCUCGUGUCAAGUGCCUUGCUUUGGCACCUGGUGACAGAGAUAUGCUUUAUCAUGUCCGAGUACGACGGCGACAAAAAUGACAAACCUCCUAACUGCAUGUUCAGAACCUGCAGCCAGCAACUGUCCAACUACGUGAUGUAUCUUGUCGCCCAGUGCAAGGUGAUGCUCGAUAGCGACGGACACAACACGCUACAGGAAUGUCGAAGUGUGUUGAGCUUGAGCCAGCAAAUUCAUCACCGAAGCGCCGCCGUCGGCAAUAAUAAGAGGAAGGGGUUGGUGAUGGGCAUCCAAGACCCCGUAUUUCGCACCGUUUUUUCAUCUGAUGAUACGGUAGCUGGCCAUUUGAUCAUUGUGUUGGACGAGUUGCUUGCACCUGAAUCUGUAAUAUCAGCAGCUCACAGGUGGGAGCUGAUUGCGAUGGUAUGGGUGGAGAUGGUUUGCUACAUUGCACGCAACUGUGGUUCUUCCACGCCAAGCAGCUAA